rnacentral:rRNA from 1 species
AGGGAAUCUUCCGCAAUGGACGAAAGUCUGACGGAGCAACGCCGCGUGAGUGAUGAAGGUUUUCGGAUCGUAAAGCUCUGUUGCCAGGGAAGAACGUCCUUAAGAGUAACUGCUUAAGGAGUGACGGUACCUGAGAAGAAAGCCCCGGCUAACUACGUGCCAGCAGCCGCGGUAAUACGUAGGGGGCAAGCGUUGUCCGGAAUUAUUGGGCGUAAAGCGCGCGCAGGCGGCUGUUUAAGUCUGGUGUUUAAUCCUGGGGCUCAACCCCGGGUCGCACUGGAAACUGGGCAGCUUGAGUGCAGAAGAGGAGAGUGGAAUUCCACGUGUAGCGGUGAAAUGCGUAGAGAUGUGGAGGAACACCAGUGGCGAAGGCGACUCUCUGGGCUGUAACUGACGCUGAGGCGCGAAAGCGUUGGGAGCAAAC